rnacentral:tRNA from 1 species
ACCUGGGUGGCUCAGUCGGUUAAGCGUCCGACUUCAGCUCGGGUCAUGAUCUCACGGUCCGUGGGUUCGAGUCCCGCAUCGGGCU